UUAAGACAAAACUGAAGGAAUGAUAC
rnacentral:piRNA from 1 species